rnacentral:misc_RNA from 1 species
CAAGUACUAAAUAGUUGCGAAAAAAAUUAUUUGCAUAUGAGAAAGGAAGAUGAUUAAACCUAAUAUUGUUGUUCUAUCAAAAUUACUAGAAGGUACUGGCAAUAAGACAACAGCUUCAAGAAUAUGUAAUUACCUUCAAAAAGAUUUUAUUCCACAUCUAAAAUGUGUAACAAUGUUUAGUUCACCACAUGAGUUUCACAACUUUGUUGUUAAUAAUGACAUUAUGUUUAUUAUUGGACUUCAUAUUUUUCACACUGGGCCAUUUUUGAGAGAUUGCAAUAUUCCAUUCAUGAUAAUAUUUGGCGGUACUGAUGUAAACUGCAAGCAAAGCAAUGAGUCAGUUUAUGAGGAAAUGAAACAGGUUUUGUUAUUAGCCAGAUACUUGGUUGCUUUCACUGUUACUUUAAAGUUUAAAGCUUUAGAACUUUGGCCUGACUUAAAAGCUCAAGAUAUUUUUAUCCUUUCUCAAGGAGUGACUACAAAUCCAUGUACAUAUACAUUCAAGCAGUUAUUUUUAGAGAACAAGAAAGUAUGUGAUCUGGAAAAUAAGAAUUUAUUUUUACUUGCUGGUGGUUUACGACCUGUAAAAGACCAGAUAUAUUUGUUUGAUAGUUUUUCUGAAUGGCAUCAAUCUAAUCCAAAUGUAUAUUUAGUUAUUGUUGGACCUGAGUUGGAAGUAUGUUAUUCCCAAAUGUGUAAAAAGAAAUUGGAAAGCUGCUCUGGAAUUUAUAUGUUCCCCACAAUUGCGUGCUGCUGUGUUCAUGCAUUGAUUACACAGAGUACUGCAGUUAUUAAUUCUUCUGUUAGUGAAGGAAUGUCUGCUGUUUUGUUAGAAGACAUUCAAUUGGCUGAUUUAUUCUAGUGAAAUGAUUGCAUGACAAUGUUCAGCUCAACACAAUUUACUGUCGUAGGCAAUGAAAUUAGAAAUUCCUGUAAUUGCUCGCCAAAAUGAUGGUAAUAACUCAUUAAUAACACAUGGCGAAAAUGGGUUUCUGUUUAAUACACCUCAGGAAUUCAUCAGCCAGGCCAAACUACUGCUUUAUGACAA